rnacentral:rRNA from 1 species
UGAUGUGAAAGCCCCCCGGCUCAAACCGGGGAGGGUCAUUGGAAACUGGGAAACUUGAGUGCAGAAGAGGAGAGUGGAAUUCCACGUGUAGCGGUGAAAUGCGUAGAGAUGUGGAGGAACACCAGUGGCGAAGGCGACUCUCUGGUCUGUAACUGACGCUGAGGAGCGAAAGCGUGGGGAGCGAACAGGAUUAGAUACCCUGGUAGUCCACGCCGUAAACGAUGAGUGCUAAGUGUUAGGGGGUUUCCGCCCCUUAGUGCUGCAGCUAACGCAUUAAGCACUCCGCCUGGGGAGUACGGUCGCAAGACUGAAACUCAAAGGAAUUGACGGGGGCCCGCACAAGCGGUGGAGCAUGUGGUUUAAUUCGAAGCAACGCGAAGAACCUUACCAGGUCUUGACAUCCUCUGACAACCCUAGAGAUAGGGCUUUCCCUUCGGGGACAGAGUGACAGGUGGUGCAUGGUUGUCGUCAGCUCGUGUCGUGAGAUGUUGGGUUAAGUCCCGCAACGAGCGCAACCCUUGAUCUUAGUUGCCAGCAUUCAGUUGGGCACUCUAAGGUGACUGCCGGUGACAAACCGGAGGAAGGUGGGGAUGACGUCAAAUCAUCAUGCCCCUUAUGACCUGGGCUACACACGUGCUACAAUGGACAGAACAAAGGGCUGCGAGACCGCAAGGUUUAGCCAAUCCCACAAAUCUGUUCUCAGUUCGGAUCGCAGUCUGCAACUCGACUGCGUGAAGCUGGAACUCG